rnacentral:rRNA from 1 species
AUGAACGCUGACAGAAUGCUUAACCCAUGCAAGUCAACUUGAAUUUGGGUUUUUAACUUAGGUUUGGGUGGCGGACGGGUGAGUAACGCGUAAAGAACUUGCCUCACAGCUAGGGACAACAUUUGGAAACGAAUGCUAAUACCUAAUAUUAUGAUAAUAGGGCAUCCUAUAAUUAUGAAAGCUAUAAGCGCUGUGAGAGAGCUUUGCGUCCCAUUAGCUAGUUGGAGAGGUAACGGCUCACCAAGGCGAUGAUGGGUAGCCGGCCUGAGAGGGUGAUCGGCCACAAGGGGACUGAGACACGGCCCUUACUCCUACGGGAGGCAGCAGUGGGGAAUAUUGGACAAUGGACCGAGAGUCUGAUCCAGCAAUUCUGUGUGCACGAUGAAGUUUUUCGGAAUGUAAAGUGCUUUCAGUUGGGAAGAAACAAAUGACGGUACCAACAGAAGAAGUGACGGCUAAAUACGUG